GAUGAACGCUGGCGGCGUGCCUAAUACAUGCAAGUCGAGCGAACGGACGAGAAGCUUGCUUCUCUGAUGUUAGCGGCGGACGGGUGAGUAACACGUGGAUAACCUACCUAUAAGACUGGGAUAACUUCGGGAAACCGGAGCUAAUACCGGAUAAUAUUUUGAACCGCAUGGUUCAAAAGUGAAAGACGGUCUUGCUGUCACUUAUAGAUGGAUCCGCGCUGCAUUAGCUAGUUGGUAAGGUAGCGGCUUACCAAGGCAACGAUGCAUAGCCGACCUGAGAGGGUGAUCGGCCACACUGGAACUGAGACACGGUCCAGACUCCUACGGGAGGCAGCAGUAGGGAAUCUUCCGCAAUGGGCGAAAGCCUGACGGAGCAACGCCGCGUGAGUGAUGAAGGUCUUCGGAUCGUAAAACUCUGUUAUUAGGGAAGAACAUAUGUGUAAGUAACUGUGCACAUCUUGACGGUACCUAAUCAGAAAGCCACGGCUAACUACGUGCCAGCAGCCGCGGUAAUACGUAGGUGGCAAGCGUUAUCCGGAAUUAUUGGGCGUAAAGCGCGCGUAGGCGGUUUUUUAAGUCUGAUGUGAAAGCCCACGGCUCAACCGUGGAGGGUCAUUGGAAACUGGAAAACUUGAGUGCAGAAGAGGAAAGUGGAAUUCCAUGUGUAGCGGUGAAAUGCGCAGAGAUAUGGAGGAACACCAGUGGCGAAGGCGACUUUCUGGUCUGUAACUGACGCUGAUGUGCGAAAGCGUGGGGAUCAAACAGGAUUAGAUACCCUGGUAGUCCACGCCGUAAACGAUGAGUGCUAAGUGUUAGGGGGUUUCCGCCCCUUAGUGCUGCAGCUAACGCAUUAAGCACUCCGCCUGGGGAGUACGACCGCAAGGUUGAAACUCAAAGGAAUUGACGGGGACCCGCACAAGCGGUGGAGCAUGUGGUUUAAUUCGAAGCAACGCGAAGAACCUUACCAAAUCUUGACAUCCUUUGACAACUCUAGAGAUAGAGCUUUCCCCUUCGGGGGACAAAGUGACAGGUGGUGCAUGGUUGUCGUCAGCUCGUGUCGUGAGAUGUUGGGUUAAGUCCCGCAACGAGCGCAACCCUUAAGCUUAGUUGCCAUCAUUAAGUUGGGCACUCUAAGUUGACUGCCGGUGACAAACCGGAGGAAGGUGGGGAUGACGUCAAAUCAUCAUGCCCCUUAUGAUUUGGGCUACACACGUGCUACAAUGGACAAUACAAAGGGCAGCGAAACCGUGAGGUCAAGCAAAUCCCAUAAAGUUGUUCUCAGUUCGGAUUGUAGUCUGCAACUCGACUACAUGAAGCUGGAAUCGCUAGUAAUCGUAGAUCAGCAUGCUACGGUGAAUACGUUCCCGGGUCU
rnacentral:rRNA from 1 species